rnacentral:rRNA from 1 species
AGGGCACCACCAGGAGUGGAGCCUGCGGCUUAAUUUGACUCAACACGGGGAAACUCACCCGGCCCGGACACCGUAAGGAUUGACAGAUUGAUAGCUUUUUCAUGAUUCGGUGGAUGGUGGUGCAUGGCCGUUCUUAGUUCGUGGAGCGAUUUGUCUGGUUUAUUCCGAUAACGAGCGAGACUCUAGCCUACUAAUAGUUCGCACAUUGUCUCUGUGUGUGUGACUUCUUAGAGGGAUUUUCGGUGUUCAGCCGCACGAAAUUGAGCAAUAACAGGUCUGUGAUGCCCUUAGAUGUCCGGGGCUGCACGCGCGCUACACUGGCAAAAUCAGCGUGCUUGUCCUUCCCCGAAAGGGGUUGGUAAACCCUUGAAAAUUUGCCGUGAUUGGGAUUGGAAAUUGCAAUUAUUUUCCAUGAACGAGGAAUUCCAAGUAAGUGCGAGUCAUCAGCUCGCGUUGAUUACGUCCCUGCCCUUUGUACACACCGCCCGUCGCUGCCCGGGACUGAGCCAUUUCGAGAAA